rnacentral:rRNA from 1 species
AACCUGGUUGGGUGGUCUGCCUUCACGGUACGUACUGCUUGGCCGGGUUCUACCUCUUGGUGAGCCAGCAUGCCCUUCACUGGGUGUGUCGGGGAACCAGGACUUUUACCUUGAGAAAAUUAGAGUGUUUAAAGCAGGCAUUCGCUUGAAUACAUUAGCAUGGAAUAAUAAAAUAGGACU